UGAGUAACACGUAUCCAACCGUUCCCUACCCGGGUAUAGCCUCGGGAAACUGAGAGUAAUCCCCGAUGUGGUGCACGGAAAGCAUUUCAUGCGCACUAAAGAUUGAUCGGUAAGGGGUGGGGAUGCGCUCCAGUUAGCUGGUAGGCGGGGUAACGCCCACUAGGCGAUGAUGGAUAGGGGUUCUGAGAGGAAGGUCCCCCACAUUGGAACUGCGACACGGUCCAAACUCCUACGGGAGGCAGCAGUGAGGAAUAUUGGUCAAUGGCCGGAAGGCUGAACCAGCCAAGUAGCGUGCAGGAAUGACUGCCCUAUGGGUUGUAAACUGCUUUUUGCGGGAAUAACGGUCACCUCGUGAGGUGAUGUGCAUGUACCGUAAGAAUAAGGAUCGGCUAACUCCGUGCCAGCAGCGGC
rnacentral:rRNA from 1 species